rnacentral:misc_RNA from 1 species
GAUGAAGAACGCAGCGAACUGCGAUAAGUAAUGUGAAUUGCAGAAUUCAGUGAAUCAUCGAGUCUUUGAACGCACAUUGCGCCCCCUGGCAUUCCGGGGGGCAUGCCUGUCCGAGCGUCAUUGCUGCCCUUCAAGCCCGGCUUGUGUGUUGGGUCGUCGUCCCCCCCGGGGGACGGGCCCGAAAGGCAGCGGCGGCACCGCGUCCGGUCCUCGAGCGUAUGGGGCUUUGUCACCCGCUCGAUUAGGGCCGGCCGGGCUCCAGCCGGCGUCUCCAACCUUCUAUUUUACCAGGUUGACCUCGGAUCAGGUAGGGAUACCCGCUGAACUUAAGCAUAUCAAUAAGCGGAGGA